rnacentral:lncRNA from 1 species
GCUUUUGAUUAAUGUGAAACCAUAUUGUUUUCAUAUUGUAUAAAUGUCAUCAUAUGAAGUCAGUUUGGGUUUCUUUGGAUUUUUUUGUGUUUCAGGCUUUCAAUUACCAGUAUCCAUGAGCUCUUAAAAAAUGAAAAGAUAAGCUAUAAUGCAGCAGAUUAUUUUUCCUCUUUGGGAAUGUCAUCAACGCCAAGACAUGAAGAAGUGAACAAACAACUACUGCUUUCAGUCUACUGUUGGUCAUCCUGCUGGAAUCAAAAGUUCUUGACCACGAUGAAGCCGUUUGCUCUGCUGCCCUCGCUGCCGCACCAUCCGCCCCGCCUUCCAAAUCUCCCAGGUGCCAGCCCACCCUGUGUCAACAGUUUGUGCUGCUUGACAAAACUGAAGACCACCUGCAGACCACACGGGGGCAUCUAGAUGACAACCCACCUCCUCCAGAAACAGUCUACGAAACUUUUUUCUACUGUUCGUCAUGGUUGUUUGAUGUACUCUGAGGGUAGGAAGCCAACGGGUCUUGAGCUUCUUCUUGUCCUUCAUUUUCUCUGGUUACACCCUGGUCUUUAAAUUUGUGUCCAUCCAUCCAUCCAUCUUCAUUAACCAUUUGUCCUGUCAGGCUUGCGGUGCUCUGGAGCCUAUCCCAGAAUCACUGGGCACACUCUGGCGGGUACGCCCCGGGCAGGCCGCCAGUCCAUUGCAGGGUAGCCGUACAAACACUAAGCCAUCCACACACUACAGGUCAUUUGGAGUCACCAAUCCACCUGAACUGCAUGUCGUUGGACUCUGAGAAGAAACCCAAGGAGACACAGAGAGAGCACACAAACUCCACACAAACUGAGCCGGAUUCGAACCUCCAGCCGAACAGCUCGGGCGCCAAAGGCAGCACUGCUGCCUGCUGUGCCACUGUGCUGUAAAUUUGUGCCAGUGAUGCUUGAUAUUGUGCUCCUUUAUAUAGCUUCAGACAUACAGUAAUAGAAAUGUUAGCGGAAAAUACACUUUAUUUCAGGUGGACUCAGCAUCGGUGUGUCCUUUCCCCUGUCUUUGAGCACGCACAAGUUCUCACACACACACACACACACACACACACACACACACACACACACACACACACACUAUUACUCACAGGGUCUCGUAUAGCCAUCACGUUACGUUCUCAGUUUUUUUGCAUUAUUGCUCUUAUAAAAAAAUGAAUUUAGUUCCCCCGG